CCUACGGGAGGCUGCAGUCGAGAAUCUUCGGCAAUGGGCGCAAGCCUGACCGAGCGACGCCGCGUGGAGGACGAAGGCCUUCGGGUUGUAAACUCCUGCGGGAGAACCCGCCGCUCCCUGGAGGAAGCACGGGCUAAGUUCGUGCCAGCAGCCGCGGUAAGACGAACCGUGCGAACGUUAUUCGGAAUCACUGGGCUUAAAGCGCGUGUAGGCGGGGCGGUGCGUCGUCGUUGAAAUCCCCCGGCUCAACCGGGGAAGGGGCGCCGAUACGACCGCCCUGGAGCGACGUAGGGGGAACUGGAACUUCCGGUGGAGCGGUGAAAUGCGUUGAGAUCGGAAGGAACGCCCGUGGCGAAAGCGAGUUCCUGGCGCGGCUGACGCUGAGACGCGAAAGCCAGGGGAGCGAACGGGAUUAGAUACCCUUGUAGUC
rnacentral:rRNA from 1 species